UAAAUAUUGAUUUCACACAGUAAAGAAUCAGAGUUCAGAUCCAGCUGGGAUACACCAGAGUCCAGACUAAACCUGGUCCAGGACUGUCAGAGUAACACCACAGUCCUGGGUCAGGUUCAGACCAGCUGAGUAUCAGAGUCCAGAUCAUGAGAGAAUCAGGAUUUGAGUCGGUCCAGCACCGACAGUCUGCAGAGCUG